rnacentral:rRNA from 1 species
UACGGGGGGGCAAGGCGUUGUCGGAAUUACUGGGCGUAAAGGGCUCGUAGGCGGCCAACUAAGUCAGACGUGAAAUCCCUCGGCUUAACCGGGGAACUGCGUCUGAUACUGGAUGGCUUGAGUUUGGGAGAGGGAUGCGGAAUUCCAGGUGUAGCGGUGAAAUGCGUAGAUAUCUGGAGGAACACCGGUGGCGAAGGCGGGCAUCCUGGACCAACACUGACGCUGAGUGAGCGAAAGCCAGGGGAGCAAACGGGG